AAGAGCCUUUUGCCUCCAGCCAUGAUUCUGAGAACUACCCAGCCAUGUGGGACUAGCAAUGUACAAGUAUAUUUUUUCAUUACAAAUAAUUCAAGGAAAAGAAACCAUUGAAGAUAAAUGAAACAUUGUAUUACAUUUUAUGCCAGAUUCACCUUCUUGAGAGCAGCAUUGUUUCUUACUUUGUUGCAAAUGUACAUUCACUAAUCAGGCUCUUGUUAAAGAGU